rnacentral:rRNA from 1 species
GGUUAAGCGACUAAGCGUACACGGUGGAUGCCCUGGCAGUCAGAGGCGAUGAAGGACGUGCUAAUCUGCGAAAAGCGUCGGUAAGGUGAUAUGAACCGUUAUAACCGGCGAUGUCCGAAUGGGGAAACCCAGUGUGAUUCGUCACACUAUCGUUAACUGAAUACAUAGGUUAACGAGGCGAACCGGGGGAACUGAAACAUCUAAGUACCCCGAGGAAAAGAAAUCAACCGAGAUUCCCCCAGUAGCGGCGAGCGAACGGGGAGCAGCCCAGAGUCUGAAUCAGCUUGUGUGUUAGUGGAACGGUCUGGAAAGUCCGACGGUACAGGGUGAUAGUCCCGUACACCAAAAUGCACAGGCUGUGAACUCGAAGAGUAGGGCGGGACACGUGGUAUCCUGUCUGAAUAUGGGGGGACCAUCCUCCAAGGCUAAAUACUCCUGACUGACCGAUAGUGAACCAGUACCGUGAGGGAAAGGCGAAAAGAACCCCGGCGAGGGGAGUGAAAAAGAACCUGAAACCGUGUACGUACAAGCAGUGGGAGCACCUUCGGGUGUGACUGCGUACCUUUUGUAUAAUGGGUCAGCGACUUAUAUUCUGUAGCAAGGUUAACCGUAUAGGGGAGCCGCAGGGAAACCGAGUCUUAACUGGGCGUUAAGUUGCAGGGUAUAGACCCGAAACCCGGUGAUCUAGCCAUGGGCAGGUUGAAGGUUGGGUAACACUAACUGGAGGACCGAACCGACUAAUGUUGAAAAAUUAGCGGAUGACUUGUGGCUGGGGGUGAAAGGCCAAUCAAACCGGGAGAUAGCUGGUUCUCCCCGAAAGCUAUUUAGGUAGCGCCUCGUGAACUCAUCUUCGGGGGUAGAGCACUGUUUCGGCUAGGGGGUCAUCCCGACUUACCAACCCGAUGCAAACUACGAAUACCGAAGAAUGUUAUCACGGGAGACACACGGCGGGUGCUAACGUCCGUCGUGAAGAGGGAAACAACCCAGACCGCCAGCUAAGGUCCCAAAGUCAUGGUUAAGUGGGAAACGAUGUGGGAAGGCACAGACAGCCAGGAUGUUGGCUUAGAAGCAGCCAUCAUUUAAAGAAAGCGUAAUAGCUCACUGGUCGAGUCGGCCUGCGCGGAAGAUGUAACGGGGCUAAACCAUGCACCGAAGCUGCGGCAGCGACACUAUGUGUUGUUGGGUAGGGGAGCGUUCUGUAAGCCUGCGAAGGUGACCUGUGAGGGUUGCUGGAGGUAUCAGAAGUGCGAAUGCUGACAUAAGUAACGAUAAAGCGGGUGAAAAGCCCGCUCGCCGGAAGACCAAGGGUUCCUGUCCAACGUUAAUCGGGGCAGGGUGAGUCGACCCCUAAGGCGAGGCCGAAAGGCGUAGUCGAUGGGAAACAGGUUAAUAUUCCUGUACUUGGUGUUACUGCGAAGGGGGGACGGAGAAGGCUAUGUUAGCCGGGCGACGGUUGUCCCGGUUUAAGCAUGUAGGCUGGUUAUCCAGGCAAAUCCGGAUAAUCAAGGCUGAGGUGUGAUGACGAGGCACUACGGUGCUGAAGUAACAAAUGCCCUGCUUCCAGGAAAAGCCUCUAAGCAUCAGGUAACAUCAAAUCGUACCCCAAACCGACACAGGUGGUCAGGUAGAGAAUACCAAGGCGCUUGAGAGAACUCGGGUGAAGGAACUAGGCAAAAUGGUGCCGUAACUUCGGGAGAAGGCACGCUGGUGUGUAGGUGAAGCCCCUGCGGGUGGAGCUGAGACCAGUCGAAGAUACCAGCUGGCUGCAACUGUUUAUUAAAAACACAGCACUGUGCAAACACGAAAGUGGACGUAUACGGUGUGACGCCUGCCCGGUGCCGGAAGGUUAAUUGAUGGGGUUAUCCGUAAGGAGAAGCUCUUGAUCGAAGCCCCGGUAAACGGCGGCCGUAACUAUAACGGUCCUAAGGUAGCGAAAUUCCUUGUCGGGUAAGUUCCGACCUGCACGAAUGGCGUAAUGAUGGCCAGGCUGUCUCCACCCGAGACUCAGUGAAAUUGAACUCGCUGUGAAGAUGCAGUGUACCCGCGGCAAGACGGAAAGACCCCGUGAACCUUUACUAUAGCUUGACACUGAACAUUGAGCCUUGAUGUGUAGGAUAGGUGGGAGGCUUUGAAGCGUGGACGCCAGUCUGCGUGGAGCCAACCUUGAAAUACCACCCUUUAAUGUUUGAUGUUCUAACGUUGGCCCCUUACCGGGGUUGCGGACAGUGUCUGGUGGGUAGUUUGACUGGGGCGGUCUCCUCCCAAAGCGUAACGGAGGAGCACGAAGGUUAGCUAAUCCUGGUCGGACAUCAGGAGGUUAGUGCAAUGGCAUAAGCUAGCUUGACUGCGAGCGUGACGGCGCGAGCAGGUGCGAAAGCAGGUCAUAGUGAUCCGGUGGUUCUGAAUGGAAGGGCCAUCGCUCAACGGAUAAAAGGUACUCCGGGGAUAACAGGCUGAUACCGCCCAAGAGUUCAUAUCGACGGCGGUGUUUGGCACCUCGAUGUCGGCUCAUCACAUCCUGGGGCUGAAGUAGGUCCCAAGGGUAUGGCUGUUCGCCAUUUAAAGUGGUACGCGAGCUGGGUUUAGAACGUCGUGAGACAGUUCGGUCCCUAUUCUGCCGUGGGCGCUGGAGAAUUGAGGGGGGCUGCUCCUAGUACGAGAGGACCGGAGUGGACGCAUCACUGGUGUUCGGGUUGUCAUGCCAAUGGCACUGCCCGGUAGCUAAAUGCGGAAGAGAUAAGUGCUGAAAGCAUCUAAGCACGAAACUUGCCCCGAGAUGAGUUCUCCCUGAGACUUUAAGUCUCCUGAAGGAACGUUGAAGACGACGACGUUGAUAGGCCGGGUGUGUAAGCGCAGCGAUGCGUUGAGCUAACCGGUACUAAUGAACCGUGAGGCUUAACCUU